rnacentral:rRNA from 1 species
AGGCUUAACACAUGCAAGUCGAGCGGGGAAAUGUAGCUUGCUACAUAACCUAGCGGCGGACGGGUGAGUAAUGCUUAGGAAUCUGCCUAUUAGUGGGGGACAACAUCUCGAAAGGGAUGCUAAUACCGCAUACGUCCUACGGGAGAAAGCAGGGGACCUUCGGGCCUUGCGCUAAUAGAUGAGCCUAAGUCGGAUUAGCUAGUUGGUGGGGUAAAGGCCUACCAAGGCGACGAUCUGUAGCGGGUCUGAGAGGAUGAUCCGCCACACUGGGACUGAGACACGGGCCAGACUCCUACGGGAGGCAGCAGUGGGGAAUAUUGGACAAUGGGGGGAACCCUGAUCCAGCCAUGCCGCGUGUGUGAAGAAGGCCUUUUGGUUGUAAAGCACUUUAAGCGAGGAGGAGGCUACCGAGAUUAAUACUCUUGGAUAGUGGACGUUACUCGCAGAAUAAGCACCGGUUAACUCUGUGCCAGCAGCCGCGGUAAUACAGAGGGUACAAGCGUUAAUCGGAUUUACUGGGCGUAAAGCGCGCGUAGGUGGCCAAUUAAGUCAAAUGUGAAAUCCCCGAGCUUAACUUGGGAAUUGCAUUCGAUACUGGUUGGCUAGAGUAUGGGAGAGGAUGGUAGAAUUCCAGGUGUAGCGGUGAAAUGCGUAGAGAUCUGGAGGAAUACCGAUGGCGAAGGCAGCCAUCUGGCCUAAUACUGACACUGAGGUGCGAAAGCAUGGGGAG